rnacentral:piRNA from 6 species
UUGGUGGUAUAGUGGUGAGCAUAGCUG